rnacentral:rRNA from 1 species
CAUGGUUAAGUGGGAAACGAUGUGGGAAGGCCCAGACAGCCAGGAUGUUGGCUUAGAAGCAGCCAUCAUUUAAAGAAAGCGUAAUAGCUCACUGGUCGAGUCGGCCUGCGUGGAAGAUGUAACGGGGCUAAACCAUGCACCGAAGCUGCGGCAGCGACGCUUAUGCGUUGUUGGGUAGGGGAGCGUUCUGUAAGCCUGUGAAGGUGUGCUGUGAGGUAUGC